AUUAUUCUACUGCAGAGGUUUGUUAAACCUGAGAAAAACAAACAGACCGCCCUCCAUUUCCUGCUCUGCCACAUGGAAAUACUGUACGUAAACAAGCCCAGGUAUAUCUUCAUCAUAUUGACUCAGUAAUGCUUGCAUUUAAUAAUUCUGGUGUUUCCGACCACUCUCUUUACACUGCAUGUCAAUCUUCUGGGCAAAAAUAAUAACCCCUGUUUUCUUGAAUAGAUGAUGUAUAUCUGUCAGUCACUCAUUGUUGCCUUUCAUCUGAAAAAAUAGAAGGAGCAAUAAGCGCUGUAGGUGGGAAUAUAUCAUGUCGCCUGCUUGCAAUCUUCAUAAAUGCGUGGAAAGGUCUUUUGCAUGUGUUUAAAGCUCCCCCUUUUUUUAAAUGGUGUAUGAUUGUGCCAAAAUAGAACAGAGUUGCAUGUGUAUACUCAAAAGGCCAUGUUGAACAUACUGCGCUGGCCUGUGAGGCAAGAAGCUUGACGCCCGACUUGUGUACUUCAUUAACGGCACGUCCGUGUCCAUGUUAACCAGCGAGCUAUUCACAAACUGUGUAACAUUGUUACCUAAACGUGACAGAUUCCCCGUGGCGUCGGAAGUUUAAUCAGAAAAGACUGCACAAGGACACCUGCUGCAGGCGUCCGUGCUAUUUAACGCACUGCUGUGCUCAAUAAAAACUAUUUAUCUCAGAUCAGAAUUUGUCAUCAUCAACCAUUUGUUGAUAUGCACACUUGUUUGAUUUAGAGUAGGAAAUCUAUUUUUCAUCACAAACAAGAAUCCCAUAUAUCAUUGCAGAGUAAUAAACAGCCUGAGGGAUUUCAGUUUACUCUCCACCAAAGAAUGAGGAAUGAGUGAACCACCUGCAAACCUCAUGAAAGCGUCAUUAUUACUGCAGUUCUUAUGCGUUUUGAUGUUUAUUUUUUUUAAAGCCAUUUGCCAAGUGUCACUAUCAUGAAUUGACUAUUCAAUUAACGACACACACUGUGCUAUUUUAAUCAUAUACUCAUAAACUAUCACACAAAUCAUACUGUUCCGGCAACAAAUCACUCAUGGUUUGUGUGCCAUAAUCCAAAAAAAUCACUUGGAUAGAUUUUUAUAUAAACCAGCCGGGAAAGAGUCCCUUUGUCUCUGCGUUGCCCGAAAGAUGGUUCAGCUAUCUAAACUGAGUGGCUUAUUUAUAUGUCCCUUCGGUUAUACAAUGCUUGGUGUUGGUGGUGGUCUAAUCAAAAUGCAGAUAUUUUCAUUGAAGAAACUAGAUUACGGUUUAUGAGAAUCACGGGCAAUUACACACACAGUUGUAUGUGCACACAUAGUAUUGCACAUUUAUAAACAUAUGAAGGAAUAUUGAAUAUGUGAAAGAAUAUAACAUGCAUUUUCUCUUUUGCUAAAACUUGACCUGAUUAUGUUGACCGCGUAAAUUACAUUUAGCAUGCUUUCAAAAAAAUAGAAAAAUCAUACUGAUUAGGAUAAGUCACACAUUAUUGACUAGCAAGUGCAAACCAAAACACAACGGUUCUUAAUAUUAGCAUAAAACAAUAUUUUUGAUUCAUUUAUUCCAGUCAUGGUGAUAGAGCGCAGAAAUGAAAACCGUCCAUUUAACAAGAGGAGUUUCUGCGCUGUGCCGCGGAUUAAAUCCUAACCAGAGAACAUCAAAUAAAAACAAUUAUUUAGGGGCUGUAAGGUGUCAAGCUGUGAAGAACGGCCUUUUCAAUUAUUGAACUUAAUGUGUGAAAGCCACGCUGGUCGAUUCGGAUGCAGACACCCAUAAGCCUCGCGGUGCACUAAAGAGCUCGGAGCAGAUCGGGAUCCUUUUGUCUCCACCACAGAAAUGAUGAAUACAAUACAAUUCAACACCACAAGGUUAUUGUUGCUCAUUUUAGAUUUUUACAACAAGAUGCAGGCAUGCUAAUGACUGUUUUAGAGUCUGAAAGACCAAACGUCAGAGUCUCGCUCACAGAAGUCUGAUUUGGAAAACUUUUAUUCGGGUGUUCUAUGUUUGGGGGCUUAAUUAGCAAGUAAGUCCUACGAUGAGCAUCAUUACCGCAGCCGAGACUGAAAUACACACUGUAGAUAUUCGGCUUAUAGAAACCCCUCUGAGGCGUAAGACCUACCAGCAUCCGACUGGCCCGGGGUGGAUUCAGCUCACCUCAUUUCAUUUGUCUUUGUCAUCCACACUUGUGGCGGAAACAAACAGCAUGAGACAAAAGGCGUCUCCUUCUUGGAACGACUCGAUUCAUCAUCUCCGUUUGUGUUUCAAACGAUAUCUGAUUGGUUCAAUAUCAAGACAACUAGCUUGGAUUUAAAGGAUGAUGAGAGCGCUACUGAGAAGAGGGUAGAUCUUAGCGAGGAAACCCAAAACACCCACACACUUGUAGCAUCCAGCACUUCCAAUUAAUUUGUUUUGAAGUUCAGGGCUUCUGCUUUGUUUUUGUGUUGUGUGAAGUUGUGACACCGAAUGCGGUAUCAUUAGCGCCGUCUCUGUUAGUCACUGCGCACUCCCUUCAUCAGUCUUUGUUUCUCUUGUCUUUUUCCUCCCUCCAUCUCGAUUCUCUCCCUCGGCUUUCAUCUCAGAUCAGAGGAACAAAGUCGUAGUUUUCCACCCCGUCUACCACCGUUUUUUUUUAUUUAUUUAUGCCUAAAGAUACUGUGAGAGUGAAGCUGUGUCACCUUUCUCCAGGUUUUUCUACUUUAAAUUUCUCCUUUCAUGCCUCCUUUUCAUCAUGCAUGUUUCCUCGGCCACUGUUCUCUUCACUCAUCCUCUCCCCGUCCUCCGCUGACGCCUCACUGUCUUUCUCGCCAACCUUUUCGAUGGCCCUUUAUCUCUUGCUCCUCCAUCUCCACACGUGUCCCCAUAAUAAGGGCCGGAUCCAUUUCCCUUCAAGCUCUCAGAGACCAGCUAAAAGCAGGAAGUGAAGGCAAUCUCUAGUGGAAGGAAAGCCGCCUUCUACUAGACAUCACCCAAAAGUGACAAAAAUUGUCCCUGAGUGAAUGGAAGAGAAUGUGAAUGGAAGAGGCUUAAAGUGGUUCUUCUGAGAACUAAAUGACAUAUAGUGUAAAAGGGCUGCAGCGCUAACACAUUCUGUCAUGCGCCGUUAGCUCGCCACAAAAAGACAAGUAUCCAGUCCUUCAGGUUUCAGAUGGAGUUUGGGGAGAUUUGUCUCGACGCCCUUUAAGGUUUGAAGUGACAAAGGAUGGUUCCUUCACUGCGUUGUGCUCCUUUGGAGAAAAAUGACGUGGCUCUUUGUGUGGGGUUCAAAAACAGACUUAUCUGCAGGAAUAGGAACUGCACGCAAGUCUUUUGACAAGUGUUAGGAUGUGCUCGACGGGAGAGUUCUGGAUACGUUCUCUUUCUAUUGGAAAUGCAAAGAUGCUCUGUGGAACUGUUUCAUGUAUAUUUCAUCCACAAUGAGAUGCAACUCUGUUUUAUUGAUGGCCGACUGCUCAGCUCUCAGUUUUCCCGCUCUGGCCCCUCCCCUCUUUGGAAGAGUUUAAGUUACAGAAGGAAACUCAUAAUUGAAUUAUGACCGCCCCAAAGCAGGAAGAUUUAAUAAUGGGAACCCGCCUCCUGGGUUGACAUGAAGGAGGGAGAUGGAGAGAGACGAGACCAGGUUGAAAAAGAUGACGGGAUUCAUUUACUCUCUUCGAGAGGCGGCGCAUUAUUGAAAGUACCCCACAGGCUCGUUUACGGUAUGUGACCAGUCAGCAGCAUUUCAGUGCAGUCGUUUAGUGGUUGUUUCAGUAACUGAUUAACUCAUUCAUUUGUUUUCUUGAACUAAGAAAAACACUUAUUGAAUUCAUCAUUCUGUCCUACUUUUCUGUCUAAAAGAUAUAAAGUGAAAAUGGGUAAUCAUUUUUAACACCAGAGAGGGAGGAGAGAAAAACUUAAUUUUCAUCUCUUAAAUUUUUACUGCAGAAAUAAUAACACCCUUCCACACAAUAUGCUUUUAUGGUGAAGGUUAGAUUCUCCAUUUAAUAUUUCCCAGCCCACACAUCAUCAUCAGGCCUCCAUACCUCUGCAAAGCUACGCGACCGAUUUCUGUGAUUAACAUUCUUUCGGGGUUCUUUGUGUCCCGUUAAUAAUUCAGUCACUGAUUCAUCUUCGUUUUUUAAUUUUUUUUUCUUCAGUUUUUUUUAAUUCUUUGUACUUGUACUUGUACUCAAUAUUGAAAAUAAGAACAUGCAAAGAUUUUAGUGACUAAGCACACACACAAUGCAGCGUCAUUUCCCAACACCCACCCCUACCUCUGCAAAUACCUCAACCUUCACAGUGUGUAUAGGUAUGUGUGUGCACAGUUUAAAGGUCAAAUGUGUGCACAGCACAAUAAAUCAAUACUUUCAGUCUCCCCAGGAAGUUAAGUCCUAUUUCUACUAUCCCUCACGCUUGAUAUGUGUGUGUGUGUGUGUGUGUGUGUGUGUGUGUGUGUGUGUGUGUGUGUGUGGAACACGCCUGGAAAUGAGCGCGCUGAGCUGGUGGAAAGACUGGAGUUGGCUAUGCUACUGCGGCCAUGGAAGUGUAAGUGUGAGCAUCUAUUAUUUAAGACAUAAUUAUGCAGUGGGCCGCUUUGUCGGCCAGUCAAUCAGAAUCCGGCUUUUCAUUAGGCUGCCUGUCAUUGCAGUGCGCUGGAGGCUUGCCUCUCUCACACAAUACAGGCGCACGACACACACACGAGCACUCACGCCACAGAACCGGAGCACACGCACACAGGCACGACAACUCUUCUCUGCGCCAACGUAUCAUCAAAAAACAAAAGGAUGCGUCAAGACAAAAGCGCAGAGAUGACUAUUGCUUCUUCCUCUCAUAUCCUUUUUUUGUCCAAUAGGCCCCCACAGAGAGUCAAUUUAAAUGUCAAAUGAGUCUGAUAUGAUUAUGGUAGAUUGAAAUCCAAAAGGCACAGUGAAAAUGUGUGUGUGUGUGUGUGUGAGAAUGGGGGGUUAUUGAGGAGGUGAGGUGCUGAUAAAGGGCAAAGGGAUCGGGGGGCAGAGGGAGUCGAAGAGCAGCAGUAGUGUGCAGAGCAGCCUCGCACUUCUAGACAUUCAACAACAGUAAUUUGGCUUUGUUUACUGUAGUACUGCUGACAUGAUGGAUUUAAGAUUUAAGGUUUAUAAUUCACUAUAAGCAAAAGCAAAUGAUUUACUCGCGUUUACUCUUGGAUGGCUUCUUAUGUCUGUAAAUGUCUAAAUGCAUAAACUACUGUAUGUAUGACUCAUUCUCACUGGUUGCAUGUAAAUGGAGCACAAGUUACUCCCAAAAGGAAUUAAGUCAUUUCCAGGUUAAAUUCCUGCUGGUUUUUCGAUAAAGGGAGCAAGAAGUGAUUAUGUUUCCUUUUGUUGCCAACUAAAUUAUAAAUUCAGCACCGCCUCUGCCAAUCAAAGCACAUUAGCUAGAUGAAAUAGACAACCGGGUAAGUUAAUGAAGUUGUCUCCAUAGAGAUACCAGAGCAUAUGUUGUUGUUUUUUCCCCAACAAACAAGCCUAAAGGUGCUUUUGGACCUAACUCAGGUCUGUGUGCUCCGUCUGGGGUCUCAAGAUGCAAUAAAUAUGCAGCCAGUGUUAAGUUGCUCUUUUCUUUUUUUCAAAUCCAAAUUCCCUUAUGUUCCUGUCCCAGUUUUGUUCCAGUGUUGCCAUCUUUUUUUUUUGGUACUUAACGAGUUCAGCACUUGAACUUGAACACAUUAGUGUUGUUAACACCAAGUAAGGUUAAGCUACAGCUUAAUUUCCCUUUUCAUACAUCAUUUUCUCACUAACAGUAUACAUGCUAAACAUUUUACCCUGCUGAAGUUGCUGAAGCAUUUAGCUUAAACCACCACUGUUCGUUUGCAUUGAAAUGAUAAAUCAGUGAAUUCCUUUCACUCAGACUUCGGUUGUUGGUUAAAUUAGUUUGAAUUCAGCUGUGUAACUAAGUUUCCUCUUCAUGAAACUAGAUGUUCAAACCUAAAAACAAGAAAGCUUCAUAGCAAAUAGCCCAGUGCAAUACACAAUGUUCACACGGAAUCUCUACUACUAGUCAUAAGACAAACCUAUUGAUGCCGUUUUUAUCUCACAGAUAUGCAUGGCUACUUUUACAUGCCUUUUUGUGUCCAUCUUUGAAUGCGUACUCUCUGAAAAUGUUAGGAGGAAGAGAAAUCCUUACUGUAAACCUCGGGAUGAGAUGUAUCAGCUUCCGCCCUCCUCCAGAGAGGAGCGUUGCACAGUAAUGAUGUAGACUCAAUUCUAACUCAAUGUGUACACGUGCCGGGCGAGGGAGGUCCGCGUUUCUGGAUGUGUCAUUUUGACACAAGGAGUGACAAUAAUCAGGGCAGUGGCGGGGGGCAACAGUGAGAUCCACAGCACACACAAGCCCCCAGUAAGUGUUUGACUUAUGUUGUGGAAUUGGUGCCUGGUGAGUCCAGAAGCACCAUUACAGAUGUUUUCCAUU
ensembl:lncRNA